UGAGGCUACCUUCCCUAAACAUGAUGGUUUUCCCUCCUAGGAUUUUCAGCCAAGUUUUAGUCUAGCUGGAUGCCUGACUUCAUGCCUAUACUAUCUAAAUUCAUGACUGCACAAUUCUGAAGAGAAUGUAGAAUUUAAUGCAGCUAUUCCACUGUCCACCAAGGAUGCUGCUUCCCUAGCACUUUCUCUUUGGAAAAUUUGAGGGGGGGAGGGGAAGUAUCACAUAUUCAAUAAUUGUAGAAGAAAAAAAAGAUACAAGAUAAAUUAAGGACAAGAACAAUAAAAGAGAUGGAUAAAAGUGAGAGGGCACUGUGGGUCAAGCACAGAGCCAAGAGCCUACUUUAUGAAGACCAACAGGUUCAAUGGGUGGAUAACAGGGAAAAGAUGCUUCGGUUGAGGGAAAGGUUAAUACAACAUGGAAAGUAAGAUUUAAUAAAAAGUAAUCCUUCAACAGCACCACCACAGAUCUAACAUCAAUUUUGAAAAGUGAGCUUUUAGAAGAGGGCAAAAUACAAGCAUCUGGUUAAAAUAAAAUAAAAACUCUACUACGAUCAGUCCCCAAAAGGAAAAGAAAAAGACAGCAACAAAAGGUUAGGGACAUAACCCUAAGUCAAACUAGAGGGUCUGUGUGACCAGAAGAAGGAGGCUGUGGGCAUGAGAAGCCCAUUGGGAAAGAAGAGUUCAGAAAACCUACAUUUCAUGCAAAGAAAAAUCCGGUGUGAAAGAAACCUACUAGGCAGGUAUACAGAAACGACCAAGCAACAGAAAACAUGAGCUGGAAUACAGGAAUGUGCUGCUAAGAGGAGGUGUGACUACACACCUGGAGCACACAGCCAACAGACUUGGGGCAAACGGCAGGUUAUCAGAAGCAGUUUACAAGUUUUGUGAAAUGUAUGUUGUGUCGAAGAACCCUUACAGACUGGGAAGAAUAUAAAGACAACAACCGCAUUACUUCUUUGAACUCACGUUUGAACUGGAGAAUUUCCCCCCCAUAACUUCCAGGACCUGUUUAUAACUGCGGGAGAAAAAAAAAGCACACCAAGAGCCUUAAUGGUUACAGGAGGCUGGUCAGGAGUGAACCUGGGUGUUUGGCAGAUGCUACUCCCAUGGAGUUCUUCAUUAUCCUCAACACGCGAGGUACAACCUCCUUGAAGGACUAUUCAAGCAAGCAUGCUGCCCCCAAACCAGUGGCAAUGAGAUGGCCCUUCUUUAGAUGCCAAAACUACACGCCACGCUCCAUGCACUAACCCUAGUGAAAAUCAGUGCAGUCAACAUCCUUUAAGAAGAGUGUGUUUCUCACGUCAGCCUUGAGGACUUGAGCAGCUUUUCAUAGGCCUGGCUUGGUUUUUUUAACUCAAGAGAGGAUCCAGUUGGUUUUAGUGAUAAACCAGUAAUUGCAUAUUUGGUGGUGAAGCCUGCAACUCUGAGGAGCAGCGAAGGAAGCCGGCUGACAGCAAUUUCAGGUGCUGGGACGCAAUAAAAACAAUGAAGAAAGAAAAUGUUUGCUUUUUCUGUCAGCUGAGAUGUCAGUACCCAUUAAUAAAUCUAUCUGCUAAAUCUACUCUUAUUCAUGUGGGACCUCACCAAUUUAAAGUAAAAUAAAUUAUCUUUAAUUAAAUGGAAUUGUCGUCUUCCUCCUGCUAUCAUCCCCAAUUAUUCUCCUUAAUCAGCCCUUUAGGGAGAAGGCGAGAUAGAACGCUGAAAGGCGCACUGACUAUAAACAAUUUCGCUUUCCGUCAAGGGAUGAAAUUUUUAAUUUUGAUUACAGUUUAUAACUAUAAAUUUUGGAUAUAAGGAAUGAAAACUGCAAAAAUCUUAUCUUUUGUGGGACAGGGAAACAGUACACAGUCACUUCCAAACUCCCCUUUCUCUUUCCUGUGAACAUUUCAGAAGAAGCCAUGUAUGGACAACAAAUUAAUGAUUUCAUUGUACUUUAUUACUUUUAUUUCCAAUCCAAGCACUACUGGUUUUAAUGAAUACCUUAAAGUAUACUGCAGUCACUGAAUGCCAUCUUCAAUGGUUUGAGGUUGUUAAGCUUUCAAAACCUGGGAUUUCUGAAUGGUAUCAAUUUAUGUUUAGACAAGAGCAGCACAUGUACUUUAAAUAUUAAGACAGGGCAUUGGAUAACAGACAAGGCUGAAUCAUCGCUAGCUAUUUGAUAAUUUCUCCUCCGAUUCCCACUUCCUUUCCGGGCUUGGGAGAAUAACUGUACCAAAACUCUAAGAAAAGCACUCUACACUUCAACCAAGUGACAUACUGUAGAAUUACACCAGUUCAGCCCUUAUAUGAACGCAGCAAUGCCCUCUGAAAUAAAUGAUGAAAUCAAUAGCCAAUUCACAUAGUAUCUCAUCCCAGUCUCAAAGGCACAGAGAUGACAUAGUAUCCCAUGAGCAAUGAAGAAGGAGCAACUGGACCCAUCUCUGUGGCAGUCACCCCUCCUCUACUGAAGCAACACCCAGGUAGGGGUGUGUGUGUGUGUGUGUGUGUGUGUGUGUGUGUGUGUGUGCAUUUCACGCUUUAUUCUAACUGUGGUCCUCUGGUAGGAGAAAGGGGAGUUUGCCUUUAUAUUGGGAGAGUGAAUAUUAAUUAUUUACAGAUAAAUGGGCUGGAGCACUGACUGCUUACUGACUACUUACUGUUACUUUUAAAAAUGUAUUUUUUUCUUCCAGGGUGUAGCACUGUUUUCAUUUAGCAUGCCUUUGAAUUGCCGCCUACAGAAGUAAAAAAGGAAACCGCAGCCAUACAAGCCUGCUGACUUUCUUAUAAAAGAACCAGUUUUAAACUUGUUUAUACUACUGAUUCCAAAUGAAUUCAAGAUGGUGGCUAGUUAAAGAAAGAGAGCCCAUGCCAGGGAGUUUGAUCAAAGAACUUCAAUUCAGCAAUGUUCAGUUUUAAUUGACCACUAAUUAAGCUACAUUAGUCCAAGAAAGGUCUGUAUCACUUUGAGUAAUAAAGAAAAGAAUUAAUUUAACCCUGUGUCACUCAGCUUUAGUAAAUUCAUCUGAAAGCAACUUCUCAAACGACAAGCAUGAAAGAGGUGUCUGGAGCUAAAUGCCAAAAGUGGUCCACAGAAUUCAGAGGAGACGGGGGACGCGGCUCUCAAGUGCGGUUGUCACUUCACCAGUGAUGUCACCUUGCAGGUGUAAUUAUCUUCAUUACAGAUACAAAGAUGUCAGCCUUGCUCCCCGGGUUGCAAAGGGUUGCUUUAAAAUUGGAUUCAAAACAUGGCAGCACACCAGCCAAUUUUAACUUUCCUGUAUUCUCGACAAAAAUAGAGUGGAUUUGCAAAAUCAUGAGAAUUUUCAAAGGCUUGGAACUCUCUUCUGGGAAAAGAACUCAACCCGGUCCAAACUGAAAGAGUGCACAGAGCACAAAUGCCUCUUGACACCAUGAUUAUUACUGAAACCAUGGCUUGUGAUACCAUUCGAUGCCCAAGAAGAAAGCAUCGGAGCAUGUGUCAAGCACCUAGUCUGCCCAGCCAGGGGAGAUUGGAAAUUUAGGCAAUCCUCUCACUUAUUCAAGAACGGUCCGCUGUGAAUCCAAGCUGCCGGUCCUUGUGCCCAACUGCCAUGCCGUGUCUACUCUGAUCAAACCUUGGAGAACCUUGCAAAGCCUCAGGCAGAAACUGAAGGGUGGCACAAGCUACUGUCAGACUUGGCAAGUCUCUCCAAAACUUGGCAUCGAAGAGGUGAGGUGUACUGGGUUCUAAAAGUUGGCAGGCAUUAAGACUCUGCCAUCGGAUCCUUCACCCUUCCUGCAUAGAGUGCUAGGGAGGGCAACAAAGGUCUCCGUAUCACUUUCCAAAUCACAGCCAGGAAGAUACAGUGAUGGUGGACACAGGGCAGUGACAGGAGGAAAGGUCCCUGUUGUCAGUAGAGUAAAAAGCUGCACUGUUGGGAAAGCUGAAGAAUCCCUCAGGUUUGCUUUAAUCUUAUAACCUUUUUUAUGUAUAUAUUUAACAUAUAACCAUAUAUUUAACAAGGAUUCAAACAAUAUCCGUGACGCUCCCCUCAAAUAUUUAUAGGUAACUGCUAAUUAUUCUUUAGGAUAAUACCCUUUUUCAUCUUUAUGUCCUCUAGCAGAAAAAGUAACAUACUUCUUUUAGGAUUCUAUAAAACAAGAAACAUAGAUUGAGUUCCCAAUAUUCUAAAAGAUAAGAUGUGAGUACAUAUAUUUAGGGUAAGGAGAAAAUGUCCCUUAUUGACUCAAUAAAGUCUAACAGCUGCUUUGAACUCAUUCCAGUUGGUUCACAAAUAGUUUACUAUAUUGACAAUACUGCAAAUGAAAGAUUACAUUUUCUUGGUAAACCGUGGAAAUAGUUGUACAAUACUCUAUAGAGUGAUGUCUCAAACAAAUAAAAAGGAAAGACAUUGGUUGGUGGGGAGGGAAGGGGGAAAGGAAGGAGAAAGGGAAAAGAAGGCGGAAGGAAGGAGGAAAAUGGUAAAAGAGAAGUGAAAAGAUAGGAAAUGGAGGGGGGAAGAAAAGAGCAUGGAGAAGAAAGGGAAAUAAAAAUGGAACAGGAAGGAUGAAAAGGGGACAGGAAGGAGGGAGGCAAAGGAAGGGACUCUGUAUGUAGCUCACAUGGCAAGAAUUAACUAUGAAUGUCCAGAUUUCAUAUUGAAAGCUGGACUCCUCUGCCUCUGUCCUGCUGAGAAGUUCUGUACAGUAUGCAAGGUUUAGCCUCUCCCACCAUAUUGCCAACAGCAACCCCAUCCCCAUCCCCACAACUGGGACAAUCAAGACUGUUUCCAUCUGUCCCCUGGGAGGCACCACUGCUCUAGAGAUACAUGUUUGUAAUCAGAGUCUGUCAAUGACAAAUACCCAUUUGGAUUUUCUGGAGUUUUCUAUAAACAUCGCUUAAAGUAUCUUUUGCCCUCCAAACCAUGGAAAAGUCAUUUACACCCAUCCAUGAUCACUUUGGAUGUGAUAUUGUGACCUGUGGCACUGAAAUCAGCAAUCUGUGUUUGUUCUGGAACUUUUAAAAUUAGCUCUGUAGUGAUCUCAAGUAUGUAAUAGAAAUGUUUAUUAUUUUCAACUGCCUUGCUCUUAUCUAUAUAUAAUAGCCAAACUAAUGCAUUGUACAUAACUUUCUAAUG